UACGGGGGGAGCAAGCGUUGUUCGGAUUUACUGGGCGUAAAGGGCGCGUAGGCGGCCACCGCAAGUCGACUGUGAAAUCUCCGGGCUUAACCCGGAAAGGUCAGCCGAUACUGCGGGGCUAGAGUGCAGAAGGGGCAACUGGAAUUCUCGGUGUAGCGGUGAAAUGCGUAGAGAUCGGGAAGAACAUCAGUGGCGAAGGCGGCCUGCUGGGCUGUUGCUGGACGCUGAGGCGCGACAGCGUGGGGAGCAAACAGGG
rnacentral:rRNA from 1 species